UACUUUGAUGAUAAUUUUAUAGCAUUGCAUUGAAGUGGUACCAGCUCUAGCAUCUAAUUUUCAGUAGUAUGAUAAUCAACAGCACAAAAGUUGUGCAUUAACUGUUACCAAACUCCUCAACUACCAGCGAAUUCUCCAACUUUACCAUUCAAAAAUUGUCAACGAAACUCUCUGCAAUGCUGUGUCAUUUAAAAAAGAACUAAAUCUACGAGCUGGCUUGCACAUUUCAAUACAAUGACUACCUGUUUCUUGUCUUAACAAACUUGGCUCUUGAAGCUUUCUUCUCCAGCUUCUCCCUCUUUUUGCGUGUCUUUUCAUCUUCCACAUCUCCCUCUGACCCUAAUGAUAAGAAUCCUCUAACAAAUCCAAGGGAUUUGUACGCUCCAAAUGCAGGUAUC
rnacentral:misc_RNA from 1 species